rnacentral:rRNA from 1 species
UCGCAUGAAUUAAUUAUCAAAGAUUUAUCGCUGAAAGAUGAGCUCGCGUCUGAUUAGGAUAGUUGGUGAGGUAACGGCUCACCAAGUCGACGAUCAGUAGCCGGACUGAGAGGUUGAACGGCCACAUUGGGACUGAGACACGGCCCCAGACUCCUACGGGAGGCAGCAGUGGGGGAAUAUUGCACAAUGGGCGCAAGCCUGAUGCAGCGAUGCCGCGUGAGGGAAGAAGGUUUUAGGAUUGUAAACCUCUGUCUUCAGGGGACGAUAAUGACGGUACCUCGAGGAGGAAGCUCCGGCUAACUACGUG